rnacentral:rRNA from 1 species
UACGGAGGGUGCAAGCGUUAAUCGGAAUUACUGGGCGUAAAGCGCACGUAGGUGGUUUGCUAAGUCAGCUGUGAAAUCCCCGGACUCAACCUGGGCACUGCAGUUGAAACUGGCAAGCUAGAGUAGGGUAGAGGGGUGUGGAAUUCCAGGUGUAGCGGUGAAAUGCGUAGAUAUCUGGAGGAACAUCAGUGGCGAAGGCGACACCCUGGACUCAUACUGACACUGAGGUGCGAAAGCGUGGGGAGCAAACAGG